rnacentral:misc_RNA from 1 species
UCUCCCGUGAGGGAGCUGUCUCGCCUGACACUUAUAACAGGCAACGGGGGUUGCGUUCGUUUCCCCACUUAAGGGAACAACUCAAGCCACGAACUGACGACGACCAUGCAUCACCUGUCCUACACCCUCGAAGGCUUCCCGAGUUUCCUCGGGCGUGCAGUAGGAUUUCUAACCCUGGUGAGGUUCUUCGCUUAGCGACGAAUUAAGCCUCAUGAUCCACCGCUUGUGCGAGCCCCCGUCUAUUCCUUUGAGUUUUAGCCUUGCGGCCGUACUACCCAGGCGGACAACUUAACGCGUUAGCUUCGCCACAGAGAGGGUCGAUACUCCCUAUAGCCAGUUGUCAUCGUUUAGGGCGUGGACUAC